AUUGAACGCUGGCGGCAUGCCUAACACAUGCAAGUCGAACGGCAGCACGGGUGCUUGCACCUGGUGGCGAGUGGCGAACGGGUGAGUAAUACAUCGGAACAUGUCCUGUAGUGGGGGAUAGCCCGGCGAAAGCCGGAUUAAUACCGCAUACGAUCUACGGAUGAAAGCGGGGGACAUUCGGGCCUCGCGCUGUAGGGUUGGCCGAUGGCUGAUGAGCUAGUUGGUGGGGUAACGGCCUACCAGGGCGACGAUCAGUAGCUGGUCUGAGGGGACGACCAGCCACACUGGGACUGAGACACGGCCCAGGCUCCUACGGGAGGCAGCAGUGGGUAAUUGUGGACAAUGGGCGAAAGCCUGCUCCAGCAAUGCCGCGUGUGUGAAGAAGGCCUUCGGGUUGUAUAGCACUUUUGUCCGGAAAGAAAUCCUUGGCUCUAAUACAGGCGGGGGAUGACGGUACCGGAAGAAUAAGCACCGGCUAACUACGU
rnacentral:rRNA from 1 species